GUGGUAGAACACCACCUUGCCAAGGUGGGGGUCGCGGGUUCGAAUCCCGUCUUCCGCUCCAACUAUACCAUCCAC
rnacentral:tRNA from 1 species